UACGUUCCCGGGCCUUGUACACACCGCCCGUCACGUCACGAAAGUCGGCAACACCCGAAGCCGGUGGCCUAACCCGUGAGGGGGGGAGCCGUCGAAGGUGGGGCUGGCGAUUGGGACG
rnacentral:rRNA from 1 species